rnacentral:rRNA from 1 species
UACGUAGGGUGCGAGCGUUAAUCGGAAUUACUGGGCGUAAAGCGUGCGCAGGCGGUUCGUUGUGUCUGCUGUGAAAUCCCCGGGCUCAACCUGGGAAUGGCAGUGGAAACUGGCGAGCUUGAGUGUGGCAGAGGGGGGUGGAAUUCCGCGUGUAGCAGUGAAAUGCGUAGAGAUGCGGAGGAACACCGGUGGCGAAGGCGGCCCACUGGAUCGGUACUGACGCUGAGGUGCGAAAGCGUGGGGAGCAAACAGG